AUCUUCAUUAAGAGCGAUUCCAGGCAGCGCCAGCGACGGUGACAUUUAUCGCCCAUUUGCGUAAAGAAGAGUUCUUGUUUAUGCAAAUAAACAGCAACUUUAGGCAGCGACAAUGGGAGUACAGACCAGGCUAAAGAGAAACAGGGAGUGGGACCGAAGCACGGAGAACACCCGCCUCCAAGGCCAGAUGGCACUACCCACCUUCUGCAAGAGAGAGAGAGAAAAGACAAAUCUCAUCCAUCAGAUCAUACAGUGGAGCCAGCCUUCCCUCCUCACGUCACUGUAGCUGAUGCUGCCCAGCUCCGAGGUAGAGUGUCGUUUAGAGCGAGCCUCUUCAGCAGCACCCAGACUGUCUAGAGACUAAAUUAAGACACAGGACAGAGAUACACACAAA